rnacentral:rRNA from 1 species
GAUGAACGCUGGCGGCGUGCCUAAUACAUGCCAGUCGAGCGAACGGACGAGAAGCUUGCUUCUCUGAUGUUAGCGGCGGACGGGUGAGUAACACGUGGAUAACCUACCUAUAAGACUGGGAUAACUUCGGGAAACCGGAGCUAAUACCGGAUAAUAUUUUGAACCGCAUGGUUCAAAAGUGAAAGACGGUCUUGCUGUCACUUAUAGAUGGAUCCGCGCUGCAUUAGCUAGUUGGUAAGGUAACGGCUUACCAAGGCAACGAUGCAUAGCCGACCUGAGAGCGUGAUCGGCCACACUGGAACUGAGACACGGUCCAGACUCCUACGGGAGGCAGCAGUAGGGAAUCUUCCGCAAUGGGCGAAAGCCUGACGGAGCAACGCCGCGUGAGUGAUGAAGGUCUUCGGAUCGUAAAACUCUGUUAUUAGGGAAGAACAUAUGUGUAAGUAACUGUGCACAUCUUGACGGUACCUAAUCAGAAAGCCACGGCUAACUACGUG